rnacentral:rRNA from 1 species
CAGCCGCCACGGUAAUACGAGGGGGGCGAGCGUUGUUCGGAAUUAUUGGGCGUAAAGGGUGCGUAGGCGGUUCAGUAAGUCUUGUGUGAAAUCUUCGGGCUCAACUCGAAGUCUGCAUGAGAAACUGCUGGGCUUGAGUAUGGGAGAGGUGAGUGGAAUUCCCGGUGUAGCGGUGAAGUGCGUAGAUAUCGGGAGGAACACCAGUGGCGAAGGCGACUCUCUGGUCUGUAACUGACGCUGAGGAGCGAAAGCGUGGGGAGCGAACAGGAUUAGAUACCCGCGUAGUCCCUGUCUCUUAUAC